UUAUAAACUGUGAAUGAGAGAGUAGAUAUUAGGAAAUUUUCAGGGAGAAUAAGUCAUAGACUGUAAGCUUAUUUAAAUGAAAUAAUAUUGAAGUUCACUCAGGAGUUCUAGCUGUGAAAUUAAGUAGUAGCUAGCGGUCAAUGCCGUUAAAUUUUAAGUUGGAUUCUUAUAGUGUAUUUUUAUAAGUUUCAAUUAGGGUGGUAACGCGGAUAAUUCGUCCCUUUU
rnacentral:ncRNA from 1 species